rnacentral:rRNA from 1 species
GACGAACGCUGGCGGCGUGCCUAAUACAUGCAAGUAGAACGCUGAAGGAGGAGCUUGCUCUUCUGGAUGAGUUGCGAACGGGUGAGUAACGCGUAGGUAACCUGCCUGGUAGCGGGGGAUAACUAUUGGAAACGAUAGCUAAUACCGCAUAACAGUAGAUGUUGCAUGACAUUUGCUUAAAAGGUGCAAUUGCACCACUACCAGAUGGACCUGCGUUGUAUUAGCUAGUUGGUGGGGUAACGGCUCACCAAGGCGACGAUACAUAGCCGACCUGAGAGGGUGAUCGGCCACACUGGGACUGAGACACGGCCCAGACUCCUACGGGAGGCAGCAGUAGGGAAUCUUCGGCAAUGGACGGAAGUCUGACCGAGCAACGCCGCGUGAGUGAAGAAGGUUUUCGGAUCGUAAAGCUCUGUUGUAAGAGAAGAACGAGUGUGAGAGUGGAAAGUUCACACUGUGGCGGUAUCUUACCAGAAAGGGACGGCUAACUACGUG